rnacentral:rRNA from 1 species
GCAUAUCAAUAAGCGGAGGAAAAGAAAAUAACAAUGAUUCCCCUAGUAACUGCGAGUGAAGAGGGACAAGCUCAAAUUUUAAAUCUAUCGGGUUUUACCUGAUCGAGUUGUAAUUUGAAGAAGCGUUUUCUGCGUAUUUGGUCAGCCUAAGUCCUAUUGAAUGAGGCAUCAUGGAGGGUGAUAAUCCCGUCCGGUUGAUCAUUUGCGUUUUACGAUACGCUUUCUAAGAGUCAAGUUGUUUGGGAUUGCAGCUUAAAAUGGGAGGUAAAUUUCUCCUAAGGCUAAAUAACGGCGAGAGACCGAUAGCGAACAAGUACCGUGAGGGAAAGAUGAAAAGAACUUUGAAAAGAGAGUUAAACAGUACGUGAAAUUGUUGAAAGGGAAACGAUUGAAGCCAGUCGUACCUUCGGGUAAUCAGCCUUUCGGGUGCGAUUCUGUGGAGUGUGAGGAGCUUAAACACCUUCAUGUUUUGCAUAUUCGUACUCUUGGGUGUACUUGCCCGUGUGGUUGGUUAACAUCAAUUUUGGUGGUCAUAAAAUGACUGGAGGAAUGUAGCUUCGAUCUUGUAUUGAAGUGUUAUAGCCUUCGGUAGAUGUGAUGAUCGAGAUUGAGGAUUGCAACGGAUACCCUUCGGGGCUACCUGUCUGGUCUCUGAUCGUUGCUCUGGUGCCGAAAGCUUGCUUACGGUUAUCAAAGUCGAUGGUCAAUAGGUUAGAAUGGGUUAAAUUCGUUAAGGAUGUUGACGUAAUGGCUUUAAACGACCCGUCUUGAAACACGAACCA